UUAUUAAUUGUUUUGGGGCAUUUUAUUUUGAAAAUGUUGCAUGCUUUUAUUAAAUAUAGUAUGUACGUCGGCUGAUGUCAUACGUAGGUAAGGCGUUCAAAACGCAGCGCAAUCGGAAGUUCGUCCUCUUUGCUUCAAUGCCAUCAGAGAGGAGAGGCAUAAUUAAGAGCUGUUGCAGAUAACAGUGCCUGUCUGUUUGCUUGUUUUACUACACAGAGAGGAGAGGCAUAAUUAAGAGCUGUUGCAGAUAACAGUGCCUGUCUGUUUGCUUGUUUUACUACACAGGCACUACAAUUAAAUCCUCAUCAGUUAAAAACCA